UGUGUGAGUCAGACUGUUUCUUUGUGUUUGUGUGUCACAUGGGUUAGGAUGUUUGUGGACCACAGAGCUCAGUAAUUCUGGAAAACGCUGCUCCUGAGAUUCACACUGUGCGGUAAAACUCCGAGUCUGCAGAGCCCGCUACACAUCGGAUGCAAACACAAGCCACCAGGAUUAGAUCUUCACACGAGCCCCUACUCAUGCUUGUCAUGGAACCCUUGUUUCUCAUCUUCCACAUAUACUGGUGUCCAGCCGAGCCCGCAGGAGAUUGCGGGGACACAGUGAUGGGGACAGGAAUAGAGGAUCGAGUGACAGUGAUCCAGAGAUGAGGAACAGAAGGAAAUCCAUCGUUUUACUAUUUGCUGUUUCCGCCAAUUUCAUAUUAUUGUGGAUGACAUACGUUUUAUUUUUCUUAUACUGGAGGCUUUCAAAAACAUAUUACACGGGGUACAAUGAUCCCGUGUUUAUUAUCUGGCGAACUGGCUUCAUGCUGCAGCUUUUGAGCUCCUGCACAAACACGUGUAUUUACGCCGUUACCCAGACUAAAUUCAGAGAGGAGAUUAAGAAAGCGGUGACAUUUCCUUUUAUUCUAAUUGUUAAUUUGUUUCAUUGACAAACUUUGCCAGUGUUGUGUGUCUGUGUUAUAGGACAGACACAAUGGUAGGCUUCAUACUGUCUGCUGGUGAGAGUUUCUAUGUCUCUGGUGUCUGUGUGUGUGCAGAUGUGUGUAUGUGUCUGUGUGUGGAUGUGAGUUUGUGUCUGUGCUUAUGAGUGUGUCCGUUUAUAUCUGCGUUUAUAUGUUUGCCUCUAUCUGUGUCGAUAUAUUUGUGUGUUUCUAUCUGUUUGUGUGCAUUUGUGCCUAUGAUUGUGCGUGUUACUGUGUGUGAAUGAUUGAAGGGUGAAUUGGAGAGUCAAAAAUGUAGUUAAUUCCGUAUAUAUGAGGGCGCAUAAUUCUUUCUGUGAGCGUCUGUGUACGUUAGUAUGUCUGUGUACGUUUGUAUGUGUCUGUGUUUGUGUGUAUGUGUGUGUGUGUGUUUGUUAGAGGGAAUGCUGUCUGGUAUCGCUCCAAAAAGUAAAAGACAACUAAGAAAGAAAUAAUAAGACUAAGACCGAAAUUAGAAAAGGAAUUUGGAAGUGGGAGAAGUUGGUGGAUUUGUUAGUGGAUUUGAGUUUACAAUAAAUAUAUUUACUAACCAA